rnacentral:rRNA from 1 species
UCAAAUUUGAAAUCUGGCGUCUUUGGCGUCCGAGUUGUAAUUUGAAGAAGGUAUCUUUGGGCCCGGCUCUUGUCUAUGUUCCUUGGAACAGGACGUCACAGAGGGUGAGAAUCCCGUGCGAUGAGAUGACCCGGGUCUGUGUAAAGUUCCUUCGACGAGUCGAGUUGUUUGGGAAUGCAGCUCUAAGUGGGUGGUAAAUUCCAUCUAAAGCUAAAUAUUGGCGAGAGACCGAUAGCGAACAAGUACAGUGAUGGAAAGAUGAAAAGAACUUUGAAAAGAGAGUGAAAAAGUACGUGAAAUUGUUGAAAGGGAAGGGCUUGAGAUCAGACUUGGUAUUUUGCAUGCUGCUCUCUCGGGGGCGGCCGCUGCGGUUUACCGGGCCAGCAUCGGUUUGGAGCGGCAGGAUAAUGGCGGAGGAAUGUGGCACGGCUUCUGCUGUGUGUUAUAGCCUCUGACGAUACUGCCAGCCUAGACCGAGGACUGCGGUUUUUACCUAGGAUGUUGGCAUAAUGAUCUUAAGUCGCCCGUCUU